rnacentral:lncRNA from 1 species
CUCAAAGAAUAUACCAAAAAGAGUAUCAGGUAUUUUUCUUGCUGAUGCUUCAGAUGCAUUCACAAACAAUACUGCUGUCUGGUUUGCUUCAACCCCAGUAGCCGAACACUGACACAGGGCAGAGAGACCGCAGAAAAGUAAAAGCAGUACGUGAUAAAGGGAAUGCCUUGACUCCAUCUCCGUCUCAGUCUAUUCGCUGUUGCUGCUGUAGGCCUGUAGCCUAUUUAAGCUCUGAGAAAGGUGCAAAUGCAGUUAGAGUUUGAUCAUUAAUGGAAGUAUAAAGUUAUCAAGUUGCUACCUUUUACAACAACCUAAUGUCAGCAUAAGACAGAACCGAAAAGAUUAUUGUCUGAAUUAAUAACAAUAAGAGUCAGGUUUGUCGGAUUUUUCUGCUUAUACUAGCACGAUAGUAACAGCAAUCAAGGAAUACAAUUCAAUACAUAAAAGAUAAGCCAUAAAAAGGAGAAAAUAUUAUUAUGUCUAUUAGCUCAUACAUUAGUUCCCAAAGUAUCCAAGUUACUAGAUAAGCUUUGUCAGAUUAAAAUGAUAGAAGAACUGAAGAAUGAUAAAAUGACCAAUCCAUAAUACAAAUGAAACUCAUUAAGCUGAAUUCAUAAGGAGAUGCUAGAUAUAAUGUCUCAAAAGCCAAACUUAUUGUGCUACACUAAAUUAUUGAGCUUAAGAUCGGAAGCUAUUGCCUUGAUGCAAGGGAAAAAGUAGCAACCUUGUGAUCAGGAGGUCACAAGCGGAGGCGGACACAUGCUAUAAAAAGAGGGGUCACCGGCACCCUUAAAUUGGCAAAAAUUUCAUGUAUAGAUGUAUAUGUCUUUAGAAAUAGUGAUAUAUUAGUAGUGGGCACCCUAUAUACAAAGCAAAUUUUGCUUGAAUCCAAAAGUGC